CCCUUAGAUGUUCUGGGCUGCACACGUGCUAAACUGGCAGGUUCAGCGAGCUUCAUGCCCUGAUCUGAAAGGAAUGGGAAAUCUUUUCAAAACCUGCCGUGCUUGGGAUAGAUGUUUGCAAUUAUUCAUCUUCAACGAGGAUUGCCUUGUAAGCGCACGUCAUCAGCGUGCAUUGAAUACGACCCUGUAUUCUGUACACACCGCCCGUCGCUCCUACCGAUUGAAGUUUUCGGUGAGUUGACAGGAGGAUUUUUUUGAAACUGGUUCGCCAGUGGAUUUUAGAUCCAAAUGCCAACGAAUCGAUGGCUUUAGAGGAAGGAGAAGUCGUAACA
rnacentral:rRNA from 1 species